CAUAGAUAACGAAACAGUUUACAUAUACAAAGCAUAGGCCAGGGAGAUAUAAGAUUGGUUGGGUAGUUAAGAAGAAGAAAAGGGGUUUCAUCCAUCCUGCUAACAAAAUAAACUAAUAAUAACAAUUAAGCUUAUCAAAAGAAGAAGAAGAAAGCAUAGCGUAGCAAUAACCCCAUCAAAGGCUCGCACUCUGAGCAGGAGGAGGCGCUGGCACCACAUAAUCAACCACGACCACACUCUCGAUUUGAUCCCUAACCUUAUCCUUCUGGUAAUUCACCAACUCCUCGUUCGAAUCCACUGCCUC
rnacentral:lncRNA from 1 species